rnacentral:rRNA from 1 species
GACGAACGCUGGCGGCGUGCUUAACACAUGCAAGUCGAACGGUGAAGGGAUCAGCUUGCUGGUUCUGGAUGAGUGGCGAACGGGUGAGUAACACGUGAGUAACCUGCCCCCUUCUUCUGGAUAACCGCAUGAAAGUGUGGCUAAUACGGGAUAUUCUGGGUCUGUCGCAUGAUGGGUCUGGGAAAGAUAUUGUUUCGGUGGGGGAUGGGCUCGCGGCCUAUCAGCUUGUUGGUGGGGUGAUGGCCUACCAAGGCGGUGACGGGUAGCCGGCCUGAGAGGGGGGACGGUCACACUGGGACUGCGACACGGCCCAGACUCCUACGGGAGGCAGCAGUGGGGAAUAUUGCACAAUGGGCGCAAGCCUGAUGCAGCGACGCCGCGUGAGGGAUGGAGGCCUUCGGGUUGUAAACCUCUUUCGCAAGUGAAGCAGGCCUGCUACUUGUGGGUGGGUUGACGGUAGCUGGAGAAGAAGCGCCGGCUAACUACGUG